AUUGAAAAUCCGGUUCUCGUUCGAUCAGCGAAAAGCAACGUCGAGCCUGCUCAGUACUUAGAUGGGUGACCGCUUGGGAAUAUUAGGUGUUGUAAG